GACGAACGCUGGCGGCGUGCUUAACACAUACAAGUCGUACGGUAAGGCCCUUUCGGGGGUCCACGAGUGGCGAACGGGUGAGUAACACGUGAGUAACCUGCCCACAACUUUGGGAUAACGCUAGGAAACUGGUGCUAAUACUGGAUAUGUGCUCCUGCUGCAUGGUGGGGGUUGGAAAGCUCCGGCGGUUGUGGAUGGACUCGCGGCCUAUCAGCUUGUUGGUGGGGUAGUGGCCUACCAAGGCGGCGACGGGUAGCCGGCCUGAGAGGGUGACCGGCCACAUUGGGACUGAGAUACGGCCCAGACUCCUACGGGAGGCAGCAGUGGGGAAUAUUGCACAAUGGGCGCAAGCCUGAUGCAGCAACGCCGCGUGCGGGAUGACGGCCUUCGGGUUGUAAACCGCUUUCAGCAGGGACGAAGCUUUUUGUGACGGUACCUGCAGAAGAAGCACCGGCUAACUACGUG
rnacentral:rRNA from 1 species